rnacentral:rRNA from 1 species
CCUACGGGAGGCAGCAGUGGGGAAUAUUGCACAAUGGGCGAAAGCCUGAUGCAGCAACGCCGCGUGAAGGAAGACGGUUUUCGGAUUGUAAACUUCUGUUCUUAGUGAAGAAUAAUGACGGUAACUAAGGAUCAAGCCACGGCUAACUACGUGCCAGCAGCCGCGGUAAUACGUAGGUGGCAAGCGUUGUCCGGAAUUACUGGGUGUAAAGGGAGGGUAGGCGGGAAGUCAAGUCAGCUGUGAAAACUACGGGCUUAACCUGUAGACUGCAGUUGAAACUGGCUGUCUUGAGUGUAGUAGAGGUUGGUGGAAUUCCGGGUGUAGCGGUGAAAUGCGUAGAUAUUCAGAGGAAUACCGAUGGCGAAGGCGGCCAACUGG